rnacentral:lncRNA from 14 species
GGGGAGCUGCUCGUACAGCUCUGGGAGAAAGGCCCAGAUUUACAUACAUGCUGAUGGCUGUUGGAUAAAACACUGGACCUUCCUGUCUCUAUUACAGCUUUUCGCCCCUAUUCUUCUGGGAGCUGAGCAUCUACACAUCCCCCUUGAGUAACUUCCACUGCAGCCCUUUUCUGGUGAUUUUUCAGAGCAAUGAAGCCAUGAGUGCAAAGGGAAUCAGUGAGCAGCAGAUACAAGAACUGUCUUGACAGUUGAAACUGGAAAUAAACUACUGCAGGUCAGUGAAUUCUAACCUCUC